rnacentral:lncRNA from 1 species
UUGAUGACAGUUUUAUUACUUUUUCCUCUUUUUUGAAAGAUCGACUAGAGCAGUCCAAUUCUCUAUUUAUUCGCCCGUAGGAAGAUAUCUUCUCUAUACAUACAAACAAACACACAUAAAUUCAUAUACACUCAUACAUCUAUUUCUUAUAGCUUUAAGAAGAUCAUGAGCUCCGAGGGACUAAAGCCGUUUAAGAAGAAAGAAGGGACUGUGAUCCCCAAGAAGAGAGAGUUGGUGAAGACAAAAAUCCUCAAAGCCAUUCUCUCUUUCCUCCGUCGCUCUGACAGCAAAAAAAGUUCCGACGGAAAGCGCGUGUAUCCCACUCGCCGAUGACCUCCGCUCUUUUAUCAUGGAGUUACUAUCAUGAUCUUUUAUGGUUUCGUCUCCUCUGUUUGUUUCAUUUGUUAUAGUAUAUUUAAGUAGAAGGAAGCUUAAUUAGCCUUGUUGAAGAUUAUCUGUUUCUUUUUAUUCGAGGUGUGGUUUCUCAGUCUUCGAGAAAGGGAAAUAUUUCAUGAAUGAUGAAUUUAUAUGUUUAGUCCUCUUCUUGUGUAAACCCCAUUCAUAUAUGAAUCAUGAGGCGUUGUGAUUAGUUAUGGUACGAUAGUCUUUAAAGCAUACUCUGUUUUUAUGGUGUUGAUAGAUUGUUGUUAUGAUCUGAUCAUACGAUGUUGUUUCGGAUAUAAUAUGCCAAAACGUGCUGUCUCGAAAUUAAUUAAUAAAUUUUGUAAUAAUGAU